GGGUUGAGGCAUGAAAGAGAAGGGUACGCCAUACACAUGCUAUUGUUUAUAGUGCGAAUCAUACGCUAUGCCUUUCCAUUUUCGGAGGAAGUGUGUGGACAUGAGAAACGAAAAAUCAAUCCAUUCCUAACACAAAAUAGCUUAAAUGGAUCAUUGUCAAAUUCACGACCAUGGUUACUUUGAAAUGAUUUUAUGGGUCUCUCAAAUUGGGUUUGAACAUAAGCCCAGAAGUCUAAAAAGGUCUGGAAUGAUUGAUAUUUGUAAGCCAGGGGAUAGUCCACACAUAAUGGGUGAAAUCAUCAAUAAGAACAAGAUGAUAUUUAUGGCCUUUAUUGCUACGAAUAGGAGAAGUUCAUAAAUCGACAUGAAUGAUAUCAAAAGGGCAAGAAGUAGUACUAGUUGAUUGAUAAAAAGGCAAUCUUGUAUGUAUCCCAUUGUGAUAAGAAUCACAAAACAUGGAGUCAUGCUCCUUAUUAAAACUAACAAAUUUAUUUUUCCUAAGAAAACUUAAAGCAGCUUCACCGGGGUCUCCUAGACGACUGUUCCAGGUGGAUGGGGAGAGUCCAGCAAAUGUAGUAGCUAAGAAUGUGGAUUGGGCCGAGUUCACUACAAGAAAAUGGUGAUUUUAAAACUGAAAUUUCCGACCGUAGGAAAAGUAAUUUUAUCGACUAAUUAAUAGGUAGUCGUUAAAUUCAACUUUUACCGACUAACAUUUGGUGGUCGGUAAUUUACGACUACUUUACAGGUAAACUACGACUACUAAAUUGUCGUUAAUAAAGUCGACCAAAACAAAUUUUCGAAAAAAAUUACUGACUACUUUUACCGACCAAAUAUUUUUACCGACUACCCAAUGUAGUCGGAAUUUACCGACUACUUUGAGGUUGGUCGUUAAAAUAAAGUUUACCGACUACUUUGUAGUUGGUAAAAAAAAAACCGAAAAUUCUAACAACUUUUCGAAAAAACUUACCGACUACUUUUACCAACCAAAUAUUUUUACCGACUAUCUAAGGUAGUCGGAAUUUACCGACUACAUUUAGCUUGGUCGUUAAAAUAAAAUUUUACCGACUACUUUGUAGUUGGUAAAAAAAAAAAAAAAAAAAAACGGAAUUAUUUUCCGACCAAAAUAGUGGUCGUUAUUUUUUUAAAUCAUAAAUUUUCGUUCAUAACCCCAUCACAAACUGAGAACCCUAGAAGCCCAUUACCGACUACUCUUAUUAUUAACCAAACCCUAAAACCCACCCUUACAUUUGCUCACAUUCACUAUCUCUCUUUCUCACAGCCGCUCAAACUCAUUCUCUCACCUACCUCCUGUCUUUCUCUCACUUGUCUCCUACCCCUUUCUUUAGAUCCCCCAUCUUUCUCUCACAUUACCUCCAUCUUCGUCUCUCUCAUCUCCAUUUAUUCAUUUUAAGUUAAGAAAUAACAAAAUCAAAACAAUAUAUAUAAAAAACUUCAAGAACAAAUUCGAAUAACAAUUUUGGGUGCUUGUGUUGAUUUGUCCUCUUCAUCUCUUGUCGUUUCCCCAUGGAGAACAAAAGGGUCGUGGUGAGUGGGGCGAGAAAUCAGAUCGGACAAUUUGGUUUUGAUUUUUGUGAAUUUCGUGAAAUCAGAUCGAGAAAUCAGAUCGAACAAUCAAAUCGAACAAAUCAGAUUUCAGAGUUGGAAUUUGUGAAUUUAGGUUUUGUGAUUUCGUGUGGUAUUUGUUUUAGAUUAGAUCAAGUAUUGUAAUUUUUUUGUAUUAUUAGAUCUAAGUUGUUGGUAUAAGUAUUGUAAUCCUUAUACUCCUUGAUAACUCUUGAUGAUAUAAAAGUUUUGGUUUUAUUUU